rnacentral:rRNA from 1 species
GACGAACGCUGGCGGCGUGCCUAACACAUGCAAGUCGAACGGAAAGGCGCUGCUUUUGCGGGGUGUUCGAGUGGCGAACGGGUGUGUAUCACGUGAGUAUACCGCGCUUUACAUUGGGAUAACUUCAGGAAACUGGGGAUAUUACAGGACAGGAGAUCCUGCUGCAUGGUGGGGGUUGGAAAGUUUCGGCGGUUGGGGAUGGACGCGCGGCUUAGCAGUUUGUUGGUGGGGUAGUGGCUUACCAAGGCUUCGACGGGUAGCCAGCCUGAGAGGGUGACCGGCCACAUGGGGACUGAGGUAGGGCCCAGAGGCCUACGGGGGGCAGCGGGGGAAAAUAGUGCACAAUGGGCGGAAGCCGGAUACAACGACGCCGGGUGCGGAAGGACGGCCGUCGGGUUAUAAACCGCUUUAGCCUGUGACGUUGCGUGUGUGACGGUAAUGGGUAAAGAAGCACCGGCUAACUACGUG